AGGCUUCAUUCCGGGAAGACGAAUGGAAAAAUCCUAUUCAACUGAUGGUGUGUGGGUGUAAUUGGAGAGCCUGUUUGGGAUUGGAGGGAUGGGCGGAGUUAAAUCCUGACAAAAAUCCCAUGGCCUGAAAUCCCGGAAUUUACUGACUUUAACUUCCUGAAAACUCCUCAUAACACCACAGAGCAGAAAAGGACGUACAUCUUCUAAAGCAUGAUUUUUUGUCGUUUGACUUUCAGGGGGCCCUUGAGAGGCCCCUGGGCCUGUGCUCGGUAGCACGGUUCAGUAAUCCUUCCUGUCUACAUGCCCUGUCAGACUGUUAGACUGUGCUUUGGAAAAGGAUGAAGAGAUACGAGCACAGAGAGAAAGAUCAUGAACAACAGUGAGCUGGUGGAGAAAAAGAAAUAAUGGGACGUGAACCUAUUGAACCUGGUUUGAAGGAAAAAUCCAUCCAUCGCCAAACACUUAUCCUGCGUACAGGGUCGCAGGGGGCUGGAGCCAAUCCCAGCUGAUGUCAGGAAGGAAAAAUGUGGUUCAAAAUACUACUGUGGAAACCCAUAAACUCCAGCCCCUGGCACGUUUCUGGAAAGCAGUUGUGUUUCUGUAAGGGGAGGGGAGGUGUAGUAACUCACUGCAGAGGAAUGUGACUGAAGCAAGCUCCAGGAGACCAGUGUGUAGCUGAGAAAAAAAAAGAAGCUUAUUCUUGAGAAACACAAUAACUUGUUUUGUAACUGCUGAGGGUGAAAGCUGAACUGCUGAUGUGUUUUUGUUUGAUCGGUGUCUUGCAAUGUCUUGGCUUUCGUCCAGUACAGUUGCAGGAAGUGACUCACAUGGUCUUUGUGGUGUUACAUGUGCAGACAGGUUGCGAUGAGGUGUGAAAGGACGUUCAUGCCAACUUCAUGCAACGAUUAGUCAGGUGAGCGUGUGAGCAGGACUUUUCACUCUUAAGAAGCAAAUCGACUCUUUAUUUUCCUGACAUGUUUACAUUUGCACUCCUUUUAAAACUCCUACGUUUUUCUCUAUUAACAUUAAACAUUCAUGGCUAAAUAAGCAACAUACAAACAAACAAACAACUUUCAUCAGACUUAAAUUCUGUUCAUGUGGGAUCCCAGUAGUUCAGACACCGAGAGAGCUAGAAGCUUCUGGAGCAGCCUGAACCUCAUGCCCUUUAUAUAUAUAUAUAUAUAUAUAUAUAUAAAAGCUAUUUUAAUUAGUUAUUAUUUCUGAUUAUCAUCAGUAUUUGGACCCUCAACAAACAGUCCAGUCCUCCUCGCACCAUCUUGGCUAAGGUAAAAGAAAAGCAGAGGAAUAUCUUGAAGCUGUUUCGCAUCAUGGUUUAAGUUCUGAAGCCGCCUACUCUGCCAGGUUGUCCAGCUGCUGGUAGGCAGGCGGCUGGUCGAUGAACAUCACUGGUACAAACAGCGGCAUGUUCGGCCUGUCGGAGGUGUUGUACAUCUGGUAGAUCAUCAGUGAAGACGGCACCGAGCCCAGCAGCUGCAGGGAAACACACUUAAGAGUUAAUUUUGACACUUUCACUUGCGAGCAUGCUUGCUAAUCCUCUUUCCCCAGAGUCAGAUUAGUUUAAUCUCCAGUACAAAGUAAAGUCUUGGGUGUGUUCAGCCUAAAGACUGAAAGCACAGGGAAACUGCUGGUGUAGCUUUGUUAAAAAGGGAAAACAAGUCCAAGUCUGUCUGAUUUACAUGUUGUGUCCAGGGCUGCAGCCAGGGUUUAGAAAUGAGUCCAGACCUUUUGUUUCUUUUAAUAGAGCUUAUUUAUAGCAAUUCAUACCAAAAUGCAUACAAAAAAGGAUUAGUGUUUUCUUUAAUGAUCAGAGAGGCCGCUGUCAGUCAUUUAAACCACUGGUUCUCAAAGUGGGGAUCCCCAUGGGUCUUUUCA